AUGGAAGCCACUGUGGUGAGUGUCGCGAAGUCCGUGCUGAAUGGAGCACUCGGAAGGGCCAGAUCUGCCGCUGCGGAUGAGGUUUCUCUGCGGGUUGGCGUCCAGCGCGAUCUGGCUUUCAUCAACGAUGAGUUUGAGAUGAUGCAGACCUUCCUGAUGGCUGCCGACGAAGACCGGGCCCAGAAGAAGUUGGUUAAAACCUGGGUGAAGCAGGUCCGCGAUCUAGGCUACGAUGCUGAGGAUUGCCUCCAAGAUUUCGGUGUUCAUCUGCAGAAAACUUCUCGGUGGUGCUUCCUCCGCACGCUGCUAGCACGGCGCCGCAUUUCCAAGGAUAUCAAGGUGCUCAAGUCCAGGGUGGAGGAUGUGAGCCAGAGAAACUUGCGGUACCGCCUCAUUGAGGAUUCUACCUCCAAGCCUGCCACCGACACCGAGCGAUCUACUAACAUCAGCAGGGAAGCAAUAUUUUGCAGUGAUGGUCCAAGGAUCACCGUAGUAAAGACGGACGAGCCAAAAGUGGAUCUUCGCCGACUGAUCACCAGCACAGAUGACCAAGCUCUUAGGGUGAUCUCGGUCUGGGGCGAAUCAGGCGAUGAUCUGAAGAAACUGUCUGUCAUCAGGGAAGUCUAUGACAAUCAAGAGAUCCGCACAAAGUUUGGAUGCCGUGCCUGGUUUAAGUUGAUGGAUCCCUUCAAUCCAAACGAUUUCCUCCAGUGCUUGCUCAGGCAGUUUUACUGGGCGUCUCUUCAAGAAAAUGGGAAGACCCAACAAGGGGCAGCUACAGGGGUUGGUGUUCUGAAGAAGAUGGAGAUGGUUGCAGCAGAUGGCCAUCUGAUUGACGAGUUUGAUCGAUAUGUGAAUGAGAAUAGGUACCUGAUUGUUAUUGAUGGCCUGUCUACCAUAGUGGAAUGGGAUUGGAUAAAGACAUGCUUCCCUGACAAGAAGAACGGAAGCCGAAUUAUAGUAUCCAUGGAGCAAGUAGAAAUUGCAAGGCUAUGUACAGGGCACUCGGCCCAAGUAGCCAAGCUGGAGUUAUUGUCAUCACGCCAGCGUGCUGUAUCUCUUCUAUGA
rnacentral:rRNA from 1 species